GGGCCCGCACAAGCGGUGGAGCAUGUGGUUUAAUUCGAUGAUACGCGAGGAACCUUACCAGGGCUUAAAUGUAGUGGGACAGGUCUAGAGAUAGACCCUUCUUCGGACUCAUUACAAGGUGCUGCAUGGUUGUCGUCAGCUCGUGCCGUGAGGUGUCAGGUUAAGUCCUAUAACGAGCGCAACCCCUAUCGUUAGUUGCCAGCGAGUAAUGUCGGGAACUCUAACGAAACUGCCAGUGCAAGCUGUGAGGAAGGUGGGGAUGACGUCAAAUCAUCACGGCCCUUACGACCUGGGCCACACACGUGCUACAAUGGCGUAUACAGAGGGCAGCCAGCUUGUGAGAGUGAGCGAAUCCCAGAAAGUGCGUCGCAGUCCGGAUUGGAGUCUGCAACUCGACUGCGUGAAGCUGGAAUCGCUAGUAAUCG
rnacentral:rRNA from 1 species